rnacentral:rRNA from 1 species
AGCUUGAUCCCGGAUGUUAGCAGCGGACGGGUGACUAAACGUGGAUAACCUGCCUGUAACACUGGGAUAACUCCGGGAAACCGGUUGUAAUACCGGAUGGUUGUUUGAACCGCAUGGUUCACACAUGGUAUGGGUUUUCGGCUACCUCUUACAUAUGGACCCGCGACGCAUUCGCUAUUUGGUGACGUAACGGCUCACCAACGCGACGAUGCGGCCCCGACCUGAAAGGGAGAUCGGCCACACUGCGACUGAAAUGCGGCUGAACUCCUACGGGAGGCCUACUAAGGAAUCUUCCGCAAUGCUUCAAGUCUGACGGAACUCUCCGCGUGAGUGAUGAAGGUUUUCGGAUCGUUUUCUCUGUUGUUACUCUGUUGUUAUGCCGAUCAAAUAGGGCGGCACCUUGACGGCACC